rnacentral:lncRNA from 1 species
CUUUCCCCUUCUUCCCGUGCCUUUGUACGCGACUGCUGGUGACGGGUGUCGUCGAUUUUUGGUCGGAGAAGAGACCCCUGUUUUGGUCUCUUCUUCCCUUAGAUUUUCCAGCACCGGCGAUCACAACCGAUCGCCAGCCUUGCAUCUUCGAAAUCGGGAGGGUGGCCCCCUCUGCCGUCGGCCUCCACCGUGAUGGCCGUGGCCUGAACGGCCCAGCAAAGGAGGGAACCCG